GACUCCCGGAGCCCAGGUUAAUAAAUGAUAGCACCAAAUGGUCACUGUGUCCUACAACCCAUAAAUUGGUCCUUAAUUCCCUGGCAGACAGUCCUAUUUCCCUCAUUUUUCACAAGAACCUGGGCUGAUAGCACCACCAUGAAGUCUAUUGCCAUUCUCUUUUUCCUGGCCUUCCUCACAGAUGUGGAGACUCUAGAAAGAAGGCAGAGAAGAGUAACGAAGAGGAUUAUGGGACUGGAGGCUAAAACAUAUGAAGAACAGUUGCAGGAACUGGGUUUUCAAGGUGCUGUCCUCAUUGAGGAGCCUCCUUCAUCGAUCUCGGAGCCUGAACAACAAUCCAUGCUGGAACGGUUGCAAGGCCAGUUUGGAAAACUUUCCGAUCAAGUUACCGAAACCAUAAAUGACGGUCUGAGCACAUUGAAAGGACAUCUCUCUGAUGCUCUGGCCUACUUAGCAGAAACGGGGAAAAAACACAUCCCACCCAAAUAUUUUAACCGCAAGGCUACUCACUUAGUCAAGGAUGCUCAACAGUAUGGCCAGUCUCUUCUUAAUCAAGGCAAGGAGGCGGUGAAGGAUCAAUUACAGAAAGUGGCGGACAUGGUAGAUGGGAUUAAGAAGUUGCCUCCUGUGCAAGCGGUGAACGAAGGGUUGAUCGAACCUGCCAUUGAGAGGGGCAACAAGUUGAUGUCCUUGGCUGGUGAGCAAAGCUUGGCUAGCAUUUCCAGCACAAUACAAAAGAACAUGAAGCACUGAAGGUCCCCAAUGGACACCCACAGCUGUCUGAGACUGUGGGCGAAGGGCAUGGUAAACUUAGAAGAAGAAGUGGAUAGGCUCGCUCGAGGAAGAACCCUGGUAUGGCUCCGCUGAGCCAGCCCUGCACCUCAUUGUAACUAUUAUCCACUUUCUGGAACAAUAAACACAGCAUGACAUGAACA
rnacentral:lncRNA from 1 species